UGCUGAUGUUGCACACGGACCGAACUAUCCCUGCGCGCCUCACGGCGCUUCAUUGUCCCGCACGUCACCCAGGGAAUGGGAUCGAUCCGUAUCCUCACGGUUCGGGGUGUACAGUGAGAGUCUGGGCUCCUUUCCCUGACCAUCGGGAAUGCGAUACUCUAGAGUUGGAGAGGUGAGUCAGGGAGAGUGAAGCGAGGCUCAGGGACAAAGUUCCGACAGUAUCAGUCACAACUGCUCUACGCUUGGUGGACAUAGAUCAGGGGCCUAAAGAUUUAAUCACUGUGGAGGAUUUCUUACUCUUGGAGGAUCAUGUCUUUCCUGAACUGAAGGUCACUCUACUUGGCAGUGAGAGAUGGCAAUGGUCUGGAACGUAUUAACUCAGAAGUGAAGAGAUGCAUGAUGUCUUGGCAUGUAUAAAAGUCAAAAGAUACCUAGAGCCUGAAGAAAUAUAUCCCAGGAUGUUAUAGGAGUUAAGCGGGCAGGCAAUGGCUGGGACACCACUGGUCAUUUUUACAUCUUUGUUUGCCCAGGUACAGAAGUCUGGGCCGGCAGUUUGACCAAUUGCUGCCAGGUUUGUCAAUGUAUCUUUUCAGUAACAUUGGAGAGUGAAGACGGGACCCUGAAGGAGACAUUCGACAGGUUUGGAAAGGAUCGACCAUUAUUGAAUUCAUUCAAGAAAGAGUGAUCUGCAUGAGAUAGCCUCUUCUAAAAAGGCAGCAGAAAAGGCUGUGCAGUAUCCAGGAGGGAAAGGUCAGUGCCUUUAAAACCGUUUUAUUUCCGUCGUCGUGAAUCCUGUGGACAAGGCAGGAUCCGGCUGGGAGUGGCAGUGACGUCAUGUCUUCGAGGAAUUCGUAACUUUAUAGAAGUCUCUCCUAAUUGACUAUAUAAAUCUCUUGGACUUUAAAAUUCACCGUGCGAAGAACUAUGUUUAAAUUUAUCGCUUUAAGAACUGGUUUCGCAUUUAUUGCUUUAAGAGCUAAUACUGAGUAGCAGUUUAAUGAAUGGCCGCAUAGCAGUUUACUUCCAGUUAGGGUUUUUGUUUGGUUUUUUUUCAUUGUUUAUCAGGGUUUAAUAAAGGCUUGUUCGUUUAUAAAUCCUGACUCCAUAUAUUCAUUGUUGCC